UGGCGAAGGCGGGUNUCUGGGCCGUUACUGACGCUGAGGAGCGAAAGCGUGGGGAGCGAACAGGAUUAGAUACCCUGGUAGUCCACGCCGUAAACGUUGGGCACUAGGUGUGGGGGACCUUUUCCGGGUCUUCCGCGCNGUAGCUAACGCAUUAAGUGCCCCGCCUGGGGAGUACGGCCGCAAGGCUAAAACUCAAAGGAAUUGACGGGGGCCCGCACAAGCGGCGGAGCAUGCGGAUUAAUUCGAUGCAACGCGAAGAACCUUACCAAGGCUUGACAUGUGCCGGUCGGCUCCGGAGACGGGGCUUCCUCCUUGUGGGGCCGGUUCACAGGUGGUGCAUGGUUGUCGUCAGCUCGUGUCGUGAGAUGUUGGGUUAAGUCCCGCAACGAGCGCAACCCUUGUCCCGUGUUGCCAGCACGUUGUGGUGGGGACUCGCGGGAGACUGCCGGGGUCAACUCGGAGGAAGGUGGGGAUGACGUCAAAUCAUCAUGCCCCUUAUGUCUUGGGCUUCACGCAUGCUACAAUGGCCGGUACAGAGGGCUGCGAUACCGUGAGGUGGAGCGAAUCCCUUAAAGCCGGUCUCAGUUCGGAUCGGUGUCUGCAACUCGACACCGUGAAGUUGGAGUCGCUAGUAAUCGCAGAUCAGCAACGCUGCGGUGAAUACGUUCUCGGGCCUUGUACACACCGCCCGUCACGUCAUGAAAGUCGGCAACNCC
rnacentral:rRNA from 1 species